rnacentral:rRNA from 1 species
AUACGGAGGGUGCAAGCGUUGUUCGGAAUCACUGGGCGUAAAGGGCGCGCAGGCGGUUUGCUAAGUCAGAUGUGAAAGCCCACGGCUCAACCGUGGAAGUGCAUUUGAAACUGCCAGACUUGAGUACCAGAGGGGAAAGUGGAAUUCCCGGUGUAGAGGUGAAAUUCGUAGAUAUCGGGAGGAAUACCGGUGGCGAAGGCGACUUUCUGGCUGGAUACUGACGCUGAGGCGCGAAAGCGUGGGGAGCAAACAGGAUUAGAAACCCUUGUAGUCC